rnacentral:rRNA from 1 species
GAUGAACGCUAGCGGUAGGCUUAACACAUGCCAGUCGAGGGGCAGCAUGGUCUUAGCUUGCUAAGCCUGAUGGCGACCGGCGCACGGGUGCGUAACGCGUAUGCAACUUGCCUCACAGAGGGGGAUAACCCGUCGAAAGACGGACUAAUACCGCGUACACUCCAUCUUGGGCAUCCAAGGUAGAGGAAAUGAAAUUCGCUGUGAGAUAGGCAUGCGUCCCAUUGGCUAGUUGGUGAGGUAACGGCUCACCAAGGCGACGAUGGGUAGGGGAGCUGAGAGGUUGAGCCCCGAGAGUGGGACCGGGAAACGUACCAGAGACCUACGGCACGCAGCAGUGAGGGAGAUAGGUGAAGGGGAGAGUGCCUGAACCAGCCAAGUCGGGUGAAGGAUGACUGUGUGAGGGAUGGUAGACUUCUUUUAGACGGGAACAACAGGAGGUACGGGUGACUGCGUGCAGGUACCGGAUGAAGAAGCAUCGGCUAACUACGUG